rnacentral:rRNA from 1 species
AUUGAACGCUGGCGGAAUGCUUUACACAUGCAAGUCGAACGGCAGCACGGGGGCAACCCUGGUGGCGAGUGGCGAACGGGUGAGUAAUACAUCGGAACGUGCCCGGUCGUGGGGGAUAACGUAGCGAAAGUUACGCUAAUACCGCAUACGAUCUGAGGAUGAAAGCGGGGGACCUUCGGGCCUCGCGCGGUCGGAGCGGCCGAUGUCAGAUUAGGUAGUUGGUGGGGUAAAGGCCUACCAAGCCGACGAUCUGUAGCUGGUCUGAGAGGACGACCAGCCACACUGGGACUGAGACACGGCCCAGACUCCUACGGGAGGCAGCAGUGGGGAAUUUUGGACAAUGGGCGCAAGCCUGAUCCAGCCAUUCCGCGUGCAGGACGAAGGCCUUCGGGUUGUAAACUGCUUUUGUAUGGAACGAAAAGGCUCUGGCUAAUACCUGGGGCUCAUGACGGUACCGUAAGAAUAAGCACCGGCUAACUACGUG